GAUGAACGCUGACGGCGUGCUUAACACAUGCAAGUCGAACGGGAUCCAUCAGGCUUUGCUUGGUGGUGAGAGUGGCGAACGGGUGAGUAAUGCGUGACCGACCUGCCCCAUACACCGGAAUAGCUCCUGGAAACGGGUGGUAAUGCCGGAUGCUCCGACUCCUCGCAUGGGGUGUCGGGAAAGAUUUCAUCGGUAUGGGAUGGGGUCGCGUCCUAUCGGGUAGUCGGCGGGGUAACGGCCCACCGAGCCUACGACGGGUAGCCGGCCUGAGAGGGCGACCGGCCACAUUGGGACUGAGAUACGGCCCAGACUCCUACGGGAGGCAGCAGUGGGGAAUAUUGCACAAUGGGCGCAAGCCUGAUGCAGCGACGCCGCGUGCGGGAUGACGGCCUUCGGGUUGUAAACCGCUUUUGAUCGGGAGCAAGCCUUCGGGUGAGUGUACCUUUCGAAUAAGCACCGGCUAACUACGUGCCAGCAGCCGCGGUAAUACGUAGGGUGCAAGCGUUAUCCGGAAUUAUUGGGCGUAAAGGGCUCGUAGGCGGUUCGUCGCGUCCGGUGUGAAAGUCCAUCGCUUAACGGUGGAUCUGCGCCGGGUACGGGCGGGCUGGAGUGCGGUAGGGGAGACUGGAAUUCCCGGUGUAACGGUGGAAUGUGUAGAUAUCGGGAAGAACACCAAUGGCGAAGGCAGGUCUCUGGGCCGUUACUGACGCUGAGGAGCGAAAGCGUGGGGAGCGAACAGGAUUAGAUACCCUGGUAGUCCACGCCGUAAACGGUGGAUGCUGGAUGUGGGGCCCGUUCCACGGGUUCCGUGUCGGAGCUAACGCGUUAAGCAUCCCGCCUGGGGAGUACGGCCGCAAGGCUAAAACUCAAAGAAAUUGACGGGGGCCCGCACAAGCGGCGGAGCAUGCGGAUUAAUUCGAUGCAACGCGAAGAACCUUACCUGGGCUUGACAUGUUCCCGACAGCCGUAGAGAUAUGGCCUCCCUUCGGGGCGGGUUCACAGGUGGUGCAUGGUCGUCGUCAGCUCGUGUCGUGAGAUGUUGGGUUAAGUCCCGCAACGAGCGCAACCCUCGCCCUGUGUUGCCAGCACGUCAUGGUGGGAACUCACGGGGGACCGCCGGGGUCAACUCGGAGGAAGGUGGGGAUGACGUCAGAUCAUCAUGCCCCUUACGUCCAGGGCUUCACGCAUGCUACAAUGGCCGGUACAACGGGAUGCGACACGGCGACGUGGAGCGGAUCCCUGAAAACCGGUCUCAGUUCGGAUUGGAGUCUGCAAACCCGACUCCAUGAAGGCGGAGUCGCUAGUAAUCGCGGAAUCAGCAAACGCCGCGGUGAAAUGCGUUCCCGGGCC
rnacentral:rRNA from 1 species